rnacentral:rRNA from 1 species
CGCUCUUUGAAACUAUUAUCAACUAUAAUUAUACAUAUAAAGAGUCGAACCUGCCCGGUGACAUUAAUGUUAAACGGCCGCGGUACUCUGACCGUGCAAAGGUAGCAUAAUCAUUUGCCUUUUAAUUGGAGGCUUGUAUGAAUGGUUUGACGAGAGCCAGACUGUCUCUUCUUAAAUAUAUAAAAAUUAAUUUAUAGGUGAAGAAGCCUAUAUUUAAUUGAGGGACAAGAAGACCCCGUUGAGCUUUAGUAAUUUAAUGAAAUCUAUAUUAAACUAAUUUGUUAUUACAUUUAUUUGAAGAUAUUUUUUAUUAAAAAUCUUUAGUUGGGGCGACUGAGGAAUAUAAAUAGCUUCCUUUAUAGAAUGAAAAUUUAAAGAAAUCAAUCUAUUACUUAAGAUCCAGUAUUUACUGAUCAAAGGAAAAAGUUACCACGGGGAUAACAGCGUAAUCUUUCUAAAGAGUUCUUAUCGAAGGAAAGGUUUGCGACCUCGAUGUUGGAUUAAGAUAUCCUAGAGAUGCAGAAGUUUCUAACGGUUAGUCUGUUCGACUAUUAAAAUCUU